rnacentral:rRNA from 1 species
GGAAUAUUGGACAAUGGGCGCAAGCCUGAUCCAGCAACGCCGCGUGGAGGACGAAGGUCUUCGGAUUGUAAACUCCUGUCAGGUGGGACGAAAGGGCGCCGGUGAAUAAUCGGCGUCUUUGACGGUACCGCCAGAGGAAGCCCCGGCUAACGCCGUGCCAGCAGCCGCGGUAAUACGGAGGGGGCGAGCGUUAUUCGGAAUUAUUGGGCGUAAAGGGCGCGUAGGCGGCCUGGUAAGUCAAAGGUGAAAUCCCUCGGCUCAACUGAGGAAUUGCCUUUGAAACUACCGGGCUCGAGGCCGGGAGGGGGUAGUGGAAUUCCCAGUGUAGCGGUGAAAUGCGUAGAUACUGGGAGGAACACCAGUGGCGAAGGCGGCUACCUGGACCGGUUCUGACGCUGAUGCGCGAAAGCGUGGGGAGCAAA